AACGAACGCUGGCGGCAUGCCUAACACAUGCCAGUCGAACGAGACCUUCGGGUCUAGUGGCGCACGGGUGCGUAACGCGUGGGAACCUGCCCUUAGGUUCGGAAUAACUCCCCGAAAGGGGUGCUAAUGCCGGAUAAUGUCUUCGGACCAAAGAUUUAUCGCCUUUGGAUGGGCCCGCGUUGGAUUAGCUAGUUGGUAGGGUAAAAGCCUACCAAGGCGACGAUCCAUAGCUGGUCUGAGAGGAUGAUCAGCCACACUGGGACUGAGACACGGCCCAGACUCCUACGGGAGGCAGCAGUGGGGAAUAUUGGACAAUGGGCGAAAGCCUGAUCCAGCAAUGCCGCGUGAGUGAUGAAGGCCUUAGGGUUGUAAAGCUCUUUUACCCGGGAUGAUAAUGACAGUACCGGGAGAAUAAGCGCCGGCUAACUCCGUG
rnacentral:rRNA from 1 species